CUGGGUGCUGUUUUCUUUGACCAUAGAGGCGGGUGCAUUGCAAAUCCCCAGCACAGUGUCAGCUGAAGAAGAUGGCGCAGGAAGCCAAGCAGAGAAAAGUGUCCCCAGGACUGUCCACACACCUUCAGCUUCGGGGCCCACUGGACAGAGGUUUUGACAGGGAACCAAACAAAACCACAACUCUCGGUCAUGUCAGUUGCAACCUGAGCUGUCCUGAGAAUUGAGGCCCCGGGGAAUCCCCCCAGAAGAAAACUGGGGUUCGGAAAUGGGUUUCCUGAGCCCACAGGAAGCAGCUUCGACUGUGGAGUUUAUGUGGAUUUCUGAGUUGCUGUGGUUCAGAACACAGUGGAAAUGGUUAAACCCCAAACGUUUGUGUCCUCCUCAAGAACAGCCUUACAGUAUGCAGACUUGAAAACAAGUGGCUCUGAGCCACGUACGAUGACCGGAUCGGUAGGUACACUGGGGAAGAAAUAGGAGCUGCCAGAUGGAAGGAAAAUCCCUUGCUCAACAGCUCACAGACUCAACAGCUAUCAGCAAGACACAUCAAAGAAUUCUCAGAGCAGCUCGAAGGGGCCACACGCAAAGGAAGGGCAGGCUUUUGCAGCAGGCCGAGUCCUUCCUCUCGUCCGCUGCUGCAACACCUGGCCCCUUUUCUGCCAUCUCUGUUUCAAAAGCUGAAUCUAGAGGCUGACGCUACUUCCUGUAAUUCCAAGAGACUUUGAGAAGCUGACCUCCAUCCUUUAUUCCGGCCCCCUCACUUUCUCCACUAUACACACUGGAGUGAGACCCCCCCCCCCACGUUAGACCCCUCCAUGUCUCCUUUGCCCAUCACAGCUCCCACUCCCAAUACAAGGCUGGUCACAUGUCUGAUUUAUCCCAAAUUACUUUCCAGCCCACUGGCAAGACCAGACUCCUGCUCUGGCUCAAGAUGCUCCUUUUAAAAUCCGGCCCUUUGGACUGGAGAUAAGAGCUCAGCUGUAGCGUUUGCGCGGUGUGCAUGAGGCCUGAAUUCCACCCCCAGCACAGCUGAUAGAAAAGCCAUGUUUCUUGAAUCACCGACACAGACCCUGCUGUUUCGCUACUGCCCUCUGGCCACUCUGCAGUGCUGCAGGAGGUCCCUUCCCUGAUGCCACUCUGUGCCCAACUCGGACUCUUCCUCCAUACUGAUGCCGCCUUCCCAUUCUGUGAACUUCCAGGACACCGGUCCAUGUUUUUUAAAUAGUAGAAUUUAUCAAUCCAUACAGAAAUCAUCGAUACUAUUCGCCCCGCCUCUCAACUCAGAGUUCCUCACCCGUAGCAGCGCCGUCUCAUCCUCCAGCACAGAGCACAAUGCUGGGUACCAAACAGAACUCCACUGUACCUAGGCUGACCACAAACUUAAGCUUCUGGUGUGAUGAUUUCAUUGUCGUACCUUUCUAUAAGUGAGGUCUCAAGUCCUCCUUACAAUGCUCACUGUUUCCGAGAGUUCUCUGCUCCUUUCUUAACUUCAACAAUGUGAAGACCACAGUUCUAUCAUGUGGGUCUAAUGUGUGUGUGGGGGGGUCUCACUCCACGGUGUCAUGAUAAUA